AGUGAACGCUGGCGGUAGGCCUAACACAUGCAAGUCGAACGGCAGCACAGUAAGAGCUUGCUCUUACGGGUGGCGAGUGGCGGACGGGUGAGGAAUACAUCGGAAUCUACUUUUUCGUGGGGGAUAACGUAGGGACACUUACGCUAAUACCGCAUACGACCUACGGGUGAAAGCAGGGGAUCUUCGGACCUUGCGCGAUUGAAUGAGCCGAUGUCGGAUUAGCUAGUUGGCGGGGUAAAGGCCCACCAAGGCGACGAUCCGUAGCUGGUCUGAGAGGAUGAUCAGCUACACUGGAACUGAGACACGGUCCAGACUCCUACGGGAGGCAGCAGUGGGGAAUAUUGGACAAUGGGCGAAAGCCUGAUCCAGCCAUACCGCGUGGGUGAAGAAGGCCUUCGGGUUGUAAAGCCCUUUUGUUGGGAAAGAAAAGCAGCAGGUUAAUACCCCGCUGUUCUGACGGUACCAAAAGAAUAAGCACCGGCUAACUUCGUG
rnacentral:rRNA from 1 species